rnacentral:miRNA from 1 species
AACAACCUCAUCGAUUGGAAGGAAUGCCUUCCAAUUGAUGAGGUUGCUACCCUCAUUGACUUCCAAUCAAUGAGGUUUAUAACAACCUCAUCAAUUGGAAGGAAUGCCUUCCGAUUGAUGAGGUUGUU